rnacentral:lncRNA from 1 species
UUAUUUGGAGCCUAGGGUUUUCACUAAAGGAUGAUAUAAAAGGCUUAUUUUUCCCAAAAGAAAAGAAAAAAGCCACUAUAUACAGAUCAGAGAAUAAGAUUUUUCUCUCCAUUGUUGAGAGAAAAAUUUUCUCGUGCUAGUUGCUUUGGUAGUGAUAAAGGCGCCCACACGUCAAGUGCAGAUCGAACCUGAGUCAUAACCUGGAAGAUCAUUGGAGACAGUUCGUGAUCUAACAAGCGUGGUGGUGACGGAUCGUGAUCUAACAGGAGUGGUGGUGGCGGAUCGUGAUCUAGGAGCCUAAAUCACUUCAGCAGAAAAAACCAACUCAGAUUUUCAAGGUACGAUUUCUAGAAUACAAAUUCUUAUAUAUUAUAUGAGAGUGAUCUUCAAAAGGUUUAAUAAAAAUUAAAAAACCUAAUUUUUCCCCAACAUAAUAUACAUAUCCCCUCGGGUGUUUGAAUAAUUCAUAUUCAAUUUGUAUUUAUUAGUAUGCAUGUAUAUUGGUUGGCGCAUGUAAAUGAAAUCUGUAUGUCGAAACUUGCAUGCAAAGGCCACGUGAAGCACAUCUAAAUGGGGCCGUGUGUAGAGAUGGCAAAACUCCGGGCCGGGUCUGGGUCUGGGCCAGAUUUUAAUCUGGGUACCUGAAUUUUAUAUUUUUUAAUAUUUUAUGUGUAUAUAUUUUUUAUUUUUUAGUAAUUUUAUAAGUUUUAAAUUUANNNNNNNNNNNNNNNNNNNNNNNNNNNNNNNNNNNNNNNNNNNNNNNNNNNNNNNNNNNNNNNNNNNNNNNNNNNNNNNNNNNNNNNNNNNNNNNNNAUAUAUAUUUUAUAAUUUUUUUAAUAAAAUCCGGGUUCCGGAGUUAUCAAGUAUGCCCAAGACUGACCCGGCUUCAUACCCGGGUCGGGUAUUUUUGCCACCUCUAGCCGUGUGUAGCAUUUAGAGUGCGUUUCGUAUUGAGGUUGGAACGCUACAGCAGUAAAGUGUUUGGUAAACACUAACUGCGAUAACUUGAAAGCUACGUUGAUAUGAUUUUUCACUUGUAUAAUAGAGAAUCUAUUAUAUCUUUAAUAAUCUUGUUAAAAUUAUUAUUUAAAAUUUAUAUUUACUACAUAUUAUAAACUUUUAUUUUAUAAGUACAACUUUUUUUCUACAGCAGCUGUAACUUAAAAGAUACAACACCUCAAUCUCAAACACACCCUUAAUUUUGCUUUAAUUUAUUAAUUUAAAAUCUGUGAAUGGCCAGAAUCAGUUUAGAUAUAUUAUGAGUCAGUUAAUGAUAUUCCUUUUAAAAGAAUUACUCUUAAGUGUACUGUAAAAAUAAUUAAUUGUGAAAAGAAUUAAACAUGUGUUUGGUAAAAUUUAUUUGUAAAAGUACUGUAAAUUUUCAAAGCAAUCAUAUAUAUUUGAUAAAUAUUAGUUUUAAACUGCUAUAAGAAUAUACAUAAUUAAAAAAGAUAUAAUGUUGGAAUAAAAUUUAUUUAAACAUGUAUAUAAAAUAUCUUUGUUAUUGUAUACAUACAAUAUUUGAUAAUUAAAAUAAAUAUUUUAUAUUAUUAAUUUUAUUUAGUAAUAGGUAAUAAUCUCUUUAAAAUUAAUGAUUUGAUUUCUUAAUUGACAAUCUGGUUUUAAGAAUCACUUUUAUACUUAAUAAAAUUUUCUCUCUCUUUAUAUAUAUAAAUUAAUGUAGGGCACGAUUUUUCUCACCAAAAUAGGUGAAAAACAUUAAUAAAUGUUAAAAAAGAAAAUGGAAUUGAUUCAAACCCGACUCGAAUCGAAGAGGCAAUCUUCUGAUCUGGAGGUGGACGAGCCACCAUGGCGCCGCGGAUGCACCUUUCCACGUAAGUACAAUAUUGUCUUUUUAAUUUCGGUAUAAAAUCUGAAACUAAAAUUCAUUAUCACAACUAUGUACCAUUUGAAACCUGAAACUUUGUUACGAUUAAAAGGGUCUCGGCUAGUCUAUUUAAAGAUCAC